rnacentral:rRNA from 1 species
AGAGUUUGAUCCUGGCUCAGGACGAACGCUGGCGGCGUGCUUAACACAUGCAAGUCAGUAACGAGGCACUUGUGCCUAGUGGCGAACGGGUGAGUAACACGUGAGCAACCUGCCCUUGGCUCUGGGAUAGCCUCCGGAAACGGGGAUAUAAUACCGGAUCAUGACCUGCUGUUGCAUGACAGCGGGUGGAAAGUUUUUCGGCCAGGGAGGGGCUCGCGGCCUAUCAGCUUGUUGGCGGGGUAACGGCCCACCAAGGCAACGACGGGUAGCUGGUCUGAGAGGACGAUCAGCCACACUGGGACUGAGACACGGCCCAGACUCCUACGGGAGGCAGCAGUGGGGAAUCUUGCGCAAUGGGCGAAAGCCUGACGCAGCAACGCCGCGUGAGGGAUGACGGCCUUCGGGUUGUAAACCUCUUUCAAGCAGGGACGAUUGUGACGGUACCUGCAGAAGAAGC